rnacentral:rRNA from 1 species
ACCCUACGGGGGGCAGCAGUGAGGAAUAUUGGUCAAUGGGCGGGAGCCUGAACCAGCCAAGCCGCGUGAGGGAAGAAGUAUUUCGGUAUGUAAAGCUCUAUCAGCAGGGAAGAAGAUGACGGUACCUGAGUAAGAAGCCCCGGCUAACUACGUGCCAGCAGCCGCGGUAAUACGUAGGGGGCAAGCGUUAUCCGGAUUUACUGGGUGUAAAGGGAGCGCAGACGGUGAGACAAGUCUGAAGUGAAAGCCCGGGGCUCAACCCCGGGACUGCUUUGGAAACUGCCUGACUGGAGUGCUGGAGAGGC